UUUUUCUUUCUUUUUUUUUUUUUUUUUUGACAGGAUGGGCUGGGGUUGGGGGAGGAGGAAGCAAGACUUAAGCAGAGAAGGCAAGCUCCUUUCUGUUCAUCUAACUCAAAAGUUUUGCUCUUGCCUGGGCUGGAGUGCAAUGGCACGAUAUCGGCUCACCGCAAUCUCCACCUCCCAGACCCAAGUGACCACCUGGUAAUUACUUCAACAGCAGAGCGACUCAUACAGCCAGCAAUCCACUUUGUUGUGAUCUGUAGAUCCUGCCUGUGGUGUUGGAUCUAACAGCUUCUUCCCUGACCCAAGAUUAUGAAGGAUUUCUCCUGUGUUCUCUUCUAAAAAUUUUACAUUUAGGUAUAUAAUCCAUUUUGAGCUAAUUCUUUUAAAUAGUGCAAAGUAUGGAUUGAAGUUCUUUUUUUUUUUUUUGCAGAUACAUAUUUAAUUUUUCCAGCACCAUUUGUUGAAAAGACUAAUGUUCUUGCCUGAAUAGCCUUUGCAUUGUUGUUGAAAAUCAUGUUCACACAUGUACACAUUCCACUGAACUAUUUGCCUCUUUGUGAAAAUACUACUAUUUUGAUUAAUAUAGAUUUAUAGGGAGUCUUAAAAUCAUAUCUUAAAAAGAUAGUGGAAGUUAUUUAACCUUACUCUUGUUUUUAGAAAUUGUUUUGGAUAAUCUAGAUCUUUUGCGUUUCCAUAUAAAUUUUAUAAUCAGUUUGGCAAUUUAUUUAAAAUAUUCUUCUGGGAUUUUGAUGGACAUUAUGCUGAAUCGAUGGAUCGCUUUGGGGAGAACUGACAUCUUAACAAUAUUGAGUCAUCUAACAUAUGAUCAUGGAAAUUGCUCCAGUUAUUUAGAUCUUUCACAUCUUGAAGCAGUGUUUUACAGUUUUCAGUGUAUAGAUAGUUAAUAGAUUUAAAAAUAUGAUCCCUAAAUAUUCAAUGUUUUUGAUGCUAUUGGAAUUUUAAAAAAUUAAUUUCUGUUCUGAGGAAGGAAAAUAAUAAAAGAUUAAACAAGAAAAAUAAAAGAAUCAAAAUAAAAGAUAAAUCAUUGACAAAUAUAAAAAAAUAACAAAAAUAA
rnacentral:lncRNA from 1 species